rnacentral:rRNA from 1 species
AGACCGAUAGCGAACAAGUAGAGUGAUCGAAAGAUGAAAAGCACUUUGAAAAGAGGGUUAAAUAGCACGUGAAAUUGUUGAAAGGGAAGCGCUUGUGACCAGACUUGUGCCGGGCUGAUCAUCCAGUGUUCUCACUGGUGCACUCGACCCGGCUCAGGCCAGCGUCGGUUCUCGCGGGGGGAUAAAAGCUUCGGGAACGUGGCACCUCCGGGUGUGUUAUAGCCCGCUGCUUAAUACCUUCGCGGGGACCGAGGUUCGCGCUCUGCAAGGACGCUGGCAUAAUGGUCAUCAGCGACCCGUCUUGAAACACGGACCAAG